GGGAAAGAGGUUUAAAAGAAGCUGGGGAUGCAAAUCGUGCGAGAGGCAGACAGGGGGGUAGCUUAACUUUACGCUCCCCGGAAACAGUCUACGCGGAGAAAGACAGACUGCCUGAUCUUGAGUGCAUCAUCCCCUCCUGAAUCCAUCUUGAAUGCAAGACAGCUGAGAAUCGGCUACCUACUUGUGCAAGCACCUGGAUUGGCAGGAAUCAGUCCUACUCCACUGAUAUGGUUAAGCAUAUACAGAAUAUACUGUCCCGUGAUGUGAAAUAAGAGUUUUGGGCCAGAUCCUGAGCUGCUAUAAAUCAGUGUACCUCAAUUGAAGUUAAUGGAGCCACAGAUAUGCCCACUUACACUAGUUGAGAAUCUGUCCCUUUAUUUCUUUAUUCGGGGCUAUGCGACUUGUGAGUAAUAAGUCAAAGUCAUGCUGACAAGACCUUUAUACCUCUCUUCACUAUCAUGUUUUUACACACACACACACACACACACCCGUACAAGUGCAGUUUCCCUACUUCUUGGCCUUUUCAAUAAGAUGAAGAGUAACAGUGACAGUAGCAUGGCCAAUUAGGUUAAUCCGAGGUGUGAUUAUUGCUCCUUGAAAACUUCCUUCCCUGACAAACCAAGGGCUGCGCCGCACCCAUGUAUCUAUUUGCUACACCAGUACUGACUUGAACUCUAAAUACAUUCUAUGGGUGGCAUACCUGAGAUCACUUAUUCACUGACGCUUUAAAAACUCCUGCACCCCAAUCUGGGUCUAUGCUGGUUAUGUACUAUGUAUGUAUCUUGUGACCCUAGUAACAGAUACUUGUAAUCCCUCAUAACUGAAGCCUGACCCCAGAUGCCCAGUACCUUCUCUCAACUUAUGUAAAUUUGAUUUUAAACAUUAGCUUUAAUUCUUUAAAUCUGUUCUUAUGAGUUAAAUAUCAGAUGCAUUCCCUACCAUCUAAUAUGUACUUUGUCUUGGGGACUGAAUAUGUCCUGCAGCCAUUGCAGGCAAAUGUUUGUGAUGAUGUGUUUUUAUAAGUCUUUUCCACCUCUAACUUCUCUAAGAUGAGACUUUACUGAAUUUCAAUUUGAGUCAGAACAUGUCUUAUUUUACAUGAACAUUAAAGUUGCAAUGCAUUUUA